rnacentral:lncRNA from 1 species
UUUUCUCUCCCCCUCCUGUGGAUGUUUAGGAAGGGGCUGGGCUGAAUCCAGACGCCCCUCCCCAGUGACUCAGGACCUCAGAGUAUGAAGAACGGAAACCUGUUCACACCAACUCAUGUCUCAUGUCCUGAGGCUCUGCCCCUCCCAUUUCCUGACAGACCCCGUCGUCCCCUGCGUUCAUUUCCCUGUUCAGCAGACCCUCACCUAGAGGAGCCAAGAUGGCUGAGAGCCACCCCAGGAGAAAAUGGCCUUUACAAAAGCUCCAGCCAGAUCCCCUGGCCCACAAGGUCCCCCUGAGCUGGCUACAGUGAGGUUGGGUGGCCAGGAAUCGGACCCCAGCCCCAGUGGCUUGGGAACAUGGACAAAGGGAGAGAAGCACACUUAGAGGAGGACGAGGGUGUCCUCAUGCGCCUGUGAAGAGCCUGCCUGUCUGCUGAGCAUGUGCUCGCAGGGCUGCAGCCUCCAUCUGGGGAUCAGCCAGAGCAAGAGCAGGCUGUGCCGUCACAGAGCCAGCUCUAGUGCAGGAGCUGAAGAGCCAAUCCAGUGUUGGGCCCAGGAGCUGGGGACAGGGAUGGCUUUGUGGAUCAGAUGGUCAGGGGGAGCAGCUUGAGAGGAGCCCUGAAGGCAGCUGCAGGGAAAGAGAGUUUACUGUGGAACAGCAGGAGAUUGUGGGUGCCAAAUAGAACAGAGUUGGCAGACGAUGGCGGCCCCUGAGCCAGCUCAGGCUGCCUGCUGCCUGUCUUUAUACAUAAAGAUUUAUUAGAACACAGCUGUGUUCACUCGUUUUCUCAUUUUCUACCCUUUGUACUACUGUAGCAGAGCUGAAAUAGUUACUUUCUGGCCCUUUACCGAAAGCCCUUACCAACCCCACAAUAGGACAAGGGCAGAGGGCUGGGUGAGGGGUCAGGCAACAGAAGCCGGCCCUUUGGCCUCAACAGGCUCCCCGCUGCAGGGUCACACUAGCUCCGGAGCACCCCAUGGGCUUGCUGAGGCCUGCAGGACACAUAGCCACCCCCACCAUUUCCUUCACCCCACUGGAACUGUCCCCACCAACUGCACAUACCUCUGAGCCUCCAUCCAGAUCCGCGGCAACCAGCCACCACAGGAGUUGGAGAAGCCAGAGCAGUGCCGCAUGCCUGUGACUCGGGAGGCUGAGGCAGGAGGACUGCAACUUCAGCAACUUAUGAAGGCUGUAAACUCAGUGAGACCCUGUCUCCAAAUAGAAAAUAACAAGGGCUGGGGGUGUGGCUCAGUGGUUAAGCACCCCUGGGUUCAGUCCCCAGACCAUUAAGAAAAAUUUAUGUAAUCCCUCAAAAACAUACAUAUUUAUUGGCAAUUCUUCCUAUAUAUGUAUUAUAAGUAUUGUAUAAUUAAUGCAUUGUGUGACAUAGUACAUAAUGAAAUAUCUAUUUUUAUGUAACAUGACAUUGUAUACUACUGUUGUGUAUACACAUAUGUAUCUCGCUGGAAUGAAGGUCUCACUAAUUACCCUGCA